GACGAACGCUGGCGGCGUGCUUAACACAUGCAAGUCGAACGGUAAGGCCUUUCGUGGUCAUACGAGUGGCGAACGGGUGAGUAACACGUGAGCAACCUGCCCUUGACUUCGGACUACCAGCUGGAAACAGCUGCUAAUACCGGAUAUGACCCUGGUCCUCCUGGACUGGGGUGGAAAGCUCCGGCGGUCAGGGUUGGGCUCGCGGCCUAUCAGCUUGUUGGUGAGGUAAUGGCUCACCAAGGCUUCGACGGGUAGCCGGCCUGAGAGGGCGACCGGCCACACUGGGACUGAGAUACGGCCCAGACUCCUACGGGAGGCAGCAGUGGGGAAUAUUGCACAAUGGGCGCAAGCCUGAUGCAGCAACGCCGCGUGCGGGAUGACGGCCUUCGGGUUGUAAACCGCUUUCAGUAGGGACGAAGCCAAAAGUGACGGUACCUACAGAAGAAGGACCGGCUAACUACGUG
rnacentral:rRNA from 1 species